CCUACGGGAGGCAGCAGUGAGGAAUAUUGGUCAAUGGACGAGAGUCUGAACCAGCCAAGUAGCGUGAAGGAUGACUGCCCUAUGGGUUGUAAACUUCUUUUAUAUGGGAAUAAAAUGUUCCAUGUGUGGGUUUUUGUAUGUACCAUAUGAAUAAGGAUCGGCUAACUCCGUGCCAGCAGCCGCGGUAAUACGGAGGAUGCGGGGGUAAUCCGGAUCUAUUGGGGUUAACGGGUGCGUAGGCGGAAGGUUAAGUCAGCGGUCAAAUGUCGGGGCUCAACACCGGCUUGCCGUUGAAACUGGUAUUCUUGAGUGUGCGAGAAGGAUGCGGAAGGCGUGGUGUAGCGGUGAAAUGCAUAGAGAUCACGCAGAACUCCGAUGGCGAAGGCAGCAUACCGGCGCUCAACUGACGCUGAGGCACGAAAGCGUGGGGAUCGAACAGGAUUAGAUACCCCAGUAGUC
rnacentral:rRNA from 1 species